rnacentral:rRNA from 1 species
UUGGCGCUGGUCGGCGUGCCUAUACAUGCAAGUCGAGCGCAUGACGAGGAGCUUGCUCCUCUGAUUGAGCGGCGGACGGGUGAGUAACACGUGGGCAACCUGCCCUGUAGACGGGGAUAACUUCGGGAAACCGGAGCUAAUACCGGAUAAUCCUCUUCCCCACAUGGGGAAGAGUUGAAAGGCGCUUUCGCGUCACUACAGGAUGGGCCCGCGGUGCAUUAGCUAGUUGGUGGGGUAACGGCCUACCAAGGCGACGAUGCAUAGCCGACCUGAGAGGGUGAUCGGCCACAUUGGGACUGAGACACGGCCCAAACUCCUACGGGAGGCAGCAGUAGGGAAUCUUCCACAAUGGACGAAAGUCUGAUGGAGCAACGCCGCGUGAGUGAUGAAGGUUUUCGGAUCGUAAAACUCUGUUGUAAGGGAAGAACCAGUACGUCAGGCAAUGGACGUACCUUGACGGUACCUUAUUAGAAAGCCACGGCUAACUACGUGCCAGCAGCCGCGGUAAUACGUAGGUGGCAAGCGUUGUCCGGAAUUAUUGGGCGUAAAGCGCGCGCAGGUGGUUUCUUAAGUCUGAUGUGAAAGCCCACGGCUUAACCGUGGAGGGUCAUUGGAAACUGGGAGACUUGAGUGCAGAAGAGGAAAGUGGAAUUCCAAGUGUAGCGGUGAAAUGCGUAGAGAUUUGGAGGAACACCAGUGGCGAAGGCGACUUUCUGGUCUGCAACUGACGCUGAGGCGCGAAAGCAUG